UAAUUCAACUCCUUUGUAGCUGUCCAUGUGCCUUCAUUCUUAAAUUUCUGAUGCAAUUGCCUUGUAUUCCAUCCCUUUUCCACAUGUACUAGCUGUUAGACAACUUUCACACACAUGUUUUGCAUCAUUUCAUCUUGCAAACAUCAACUUUCGGCCACUUUACACCUCUACACACAUGCUAUGCAUCAUUUCAGCUUGCAAUUAUGUUUGUAGUUUCUGAAAAUGUGAAUACAACUUGUAAAGCAAUCCAACAAAUGGCAUCUUUCACUUCUUUUCCUUUCAAAUUGUUCCUUAAGUGUAUGUAUCUGCACACUUCCACACUUCAACUUCAUUAUUCAGAUUUUUGCAUGUGUUGAAACCCUUUUUAAAACACCAAAAACAUCCAUCCCACUUGCUCCAUAUGCAUGCAAUCCAUUUUGGCCCAAAAUUGCUCCAAAUUGCAACAAAAUGCACUUUCUUUCCAACUUUGUUAUUAGGACCUACAAACACACGAAAAUAGCUUAAAACACUCUUAUAAGCAAUAACUAACUAAGUAAAUGCAAGAAAACAUGUUAACUAAGUCGCAUAAAUAUGCUCUUAUCAAAUUCCCCCACACUUGGCUUUUGCUAGUCCUCGAGCAAAACGAAACAAACAAACAAAACAAAGUAAACAAAACACAUUCUAAUCCUUCCAACAUUUGCCUCAGGGAUUUCCAAUGCACAUGACAUGUUAAAAAUUAUUAUUCCCACAGAUUUUAGUUAUCUUCACACUUGAGCACAUACUUAAUCACAGUCACCACUUACUAGUUCUCAUUUGACCAAUUAAAAUGAUGUUUUGAAUGUAGUAACAUGCCUUAGAGAAUUUGCUCAAUUCCUUACAAGAUACUCUCUAUUGUCACAUAUUUUCUGACUACACACCCUACACUAGUUAUAUGUGAGAAGAUUGAUGUAAACAUGAAAACGAACACUCACAUAUAUGUGUUACAAAGAUAGCAAUUUCUGGAGUUAUUAAGCAUGUUUAGAUAUGAUCUCAUGAAUGGAAUGCUACUACUUAGAUGCGAAAACCAGUGACACCAUAUGCUCAUACCAAAUUCAAACUCCACAAAUUGAAACACAUAACACUCAAGAUAGAAGUCAAGGGUUGUAACGGGGCUUGGGGUAAUGGUUAACAAAGGAAAGAUAGGGAUAACAAACGUUCCUAAGGCAAUAGCAAGCAAAGUAAUGAAAUCGAAACUUAGAUUCACUUUAGAAUGCAUAAAUCAACUUUUAACACAAAGGGAAGAUUUGAGCAACACUUAGGGCCGAAUUCAAUGUUUUGGACCCUUUCUUCAACAAACAACACUUUAGAACUCUUUUUCACACAUUUUCACAACUUUUUUUUUUUUUUCGACCCGUGCCUUAUUAAGGACUUUGGCACACACACACACACACAAGAAUCACUUCCCCCAUACUUGUUUUCUGCAAUACAUUAAUCAAAAGGAAUUCAAUUUGAGUCAUGCUUUACUAUGCUUCAAGAACAAGGG
rnacentral:lncRNA from 1 species